rnacentral:rRNA from 1 species
UACGUAGGGCGCAAGCGUUGUCCGGAAUUAUUGGGCGUAAAGGGCUCGUAGGCGGUUUGUCGCGUCGGGAGUGAAAUCCACUGGCUUAACUGGUGGCUUGCUUUCGAUACGGGCAGACUGGAGGUAUGCAGGGGAGAACGGAAUUCCUGGUGUAGCGGUGAAAUGCGCAGAUAUCAGGAGGAACACCGGUGGCGAAGGCGGGUCUCUGGGCAGUAACUGACGCUGAGGAGCGAAAGCGUGGGGAGCGAACAGG